UGGCUCAGAUUGAACGCUGGCGGCAUGCCUUCCACAUGCAAGUCGAACGGUAACGGGCCUUCGGGUGCCGACGAGUGGCGAACGGGUGAGUAAUGUAUCGGAACGUACCUUUCAGUGGGGAUAACGUAGCGAAAGUUACGCUAAUACCGCAUAUUCUGUGAGCAGGAAAGCAGGGGAUCGCAAGACCUUGCGCUGAUUGAGCGGCCGAUAUCAGAUUAGCUAGUUGGUGAGGUAAAGGCUCACCAAGGCGACGAUCUGUAGCGGGUCUGAGAGGAUGAUCCGCCACACUGGAACUGAGACACGGUCCAGACUCCUACGGGAGGCAGCAGUGGGGAAUUUUGGACAAUGGGGCAACCCUGAUCCAGCCAUGCCGCGUGAGUGAAGAAGGCCUUCGGGUUGUAAAGCUCUUUCGGCCGGGAAGAAAUCGUAUGGGCUAAUACCCUGUGCGGAUGACGGUACCGGCAUAAGAAGCACCGGCUAACUACGUG
rnacentral:rRNA from 1 species